rnacentral:tRNA from 1 species
GAGGCCUUAGCUUAGUAAAAGUGUCUGAGUUGCAAUCAGGAGAUGUAAAUUAAAGUUUUACAGGUUUUA